GAAAGUCUUAGGUAAUCAAAGAUGGUUUUUUUUUUAAUGACAUGGAUAGAUUUUUUUUUUUUUUUUCAACAUUUGCAAGCCAGUUCACCUGCAUCGUCUAUGCUUCUAGUUCCACAUUGUGCAUGCACUCAGCCCACAAAAACACAUUCUUAAAACAUGCUGAUCAAGGGCGUCUGAAACAAUCUCUACCCUUUUGAAGGAUAUCCAUAUCUAUUGGGAAAAAUGUAACCAUUUUUGUAUGAGGGCAGAUGGAGCUAGGCUUGGCUGGAUGCGUUAGGGUUGCAAGUUUGGCGGUGGCCUGUUAAGCAGACUCACGCAGCCAGAAUGCUGGCAAGUAUUGGGGAGUUUGGCUUUACGCCUGCCUAUUGCAUUUACUUAGUUCAGGUCUUCGUAAAGGAAGCAUCACAGACUCAUUAAGCGAUUCUUUCACAUUUUCCAGAGAUCCAAUGUUCUCAAAAUUCACUCCAAUAUCACCUGGUGGUAUCACAUUCUGCAGGAUCUUCUUCUCAAACUUAUUCUCAGUGGCAAUCUCCUAGAGAGCAUAACAAAAGUUUUAAGAAAGAUAACAAUCUCGUAGAUAGCAUAACAAGAGUUGUAAAUAAGAUAACAGUUUUGUUAUGCUAGGCAAAGUAGGAUACUGAUAUUAUAAAUCUUACCUUUUGUUUGAUCUGAAUAGCCUGUGGCUUAUUUUGAAUUU